GGGAAAUAGUUUAUCUAUAACAGAAGAAAAGAUAAUUAUCAAAUCCAUAACAUUAUAAUUUUUUACCUAAAACGACAGGCUCUGCACAUGGCAACAAUUUGUACAGUUUAAGAAGAAGAUCUGACUACAGUUUUUCUUUUUCUUUUCUUUACACCCUUGUACAGUUACUCUAUCUCCGCGGCAGGGGCAUCCAGGUAUGUUUACCAUCUGAGCCUCACAGUUAAACCUGCUUAUAUAGAUUAUACCUCAAAACUAUAAUGUACAAUGUUACAAACACCAUCACUACAUGUUUAUUUUUCAAACAUUUUCCAUCAGCAAAGAGGUAGAACAAAAACUCUCGACAAGAAAACAAAGACGAGGGUACUUGUUCUAGCCUCAGUUAGCUGUACAAGUUUCCUACACCAUCUAAGCAGCAGCAGAAUAUGACGCCAGGAAGCUGAUCCUCCUCUCUCCAGCAGCAA
rnacentral:misc_RNA from 1 species